rnacentral:lncRNA from 1 species
GUAGAGUCUGACAGAGGGAGGUAGUAUGUAGGGUUGAAUAGAGGGAGGUAGUAUGUAGUCCCUGAGAGAGGGAGGUAGUAUGUAGGGUCUGAUAGCGGGAGGUAGUAUGUAGGGUCUGAUAGAGGGAGGUAGUAUGUAGGGUCUGAUAGAGGGAGGUAGUAUGUAGUCCCUGAUAGAGAGAGGUAGUAUGUAGGGUCUGAUAGAGGGAGGUAGUAUGUAGGGUUGAAUAGAGGGAGGUAGUAUGUAGUCACUGAGAGAGGGAGGUAGUAUGUAGGGUCUGAUAGCGGGAGGUAGUAUGUAGGGUCUGAUAGAGGGAGGUAGUAUGUAGGGUCUGAUAGAGGGAGGUAGUAUGUAGUCCCUGAUAGAGAGAGGUAGUAUGUAGAGUCUGAUAGAGGGAGGUAGUAUGUAGGGUCUGAUAGAGGGAGGUAGUAUGUAGGUCUGAUAGAGGGAGGUAGUAUGUAGGGUCUGAUAGAGGGAGGUAGUAUGUAGGGUCUGAUAGAGGGAGGUAGUAUGUAGGGUCUGAUAGAGGGAGGUAGUAUGUAGUCCAUGACAGAGGGAGGUAGUAUGUAGGGUCUGAUAGAGGGAGGUAGUAUGUAGGGUCUGAGAGAGGGAGGUAGUAUGUAGUCCCUGAUAGAGGGAGGUAGUAUGUAGGGUCUGAGAGAGGGAGGUAGUAUGUAGGGUCUGAGAGAGGGAGGUAGUAUGUAGGGUCUGAGAGAGGGAGGUAGUAUGUAGGGUCUGAUAGAGGGAGGUAGUAUGUAGUCCCUGACAGAUGGAGGUAGUAUGUAGUCCCUGAUAGAGGGAGGUAGUAUGUAGGGUCUGAUAGAGGGAGUUAGUAUGUAGGGUCUGAUAGAGGGAGGUAGUAUGUAGGGUCUGAGAGAGGGAGGUAGUAUGUAGGGUCUGAUAGACACUACCCUCUGCAACUGGAUCCUGGACUUCCUGACGGGCCGACCACAGGCUGUGAGGAUUGGCAACAACACCUCCUCCACACUGACUCUUAACACAGGGGGCCCCCCAGGGAUGUGUCCUUAGUCCUCUGCUGUACUUCCUGUUCACCCACGACCGAAUGGCUUUGCAGGACACCAACUCCAUCAUCAAGUUUGC